GAUGAACGCUGGCGGCGUGCCUAAUACAUGCAAGUCGAGCGAACGGACGAGAAGCUUGCUUCUCUGAUGUUAGCGGCGGACGGGUGAGUAACACGUGGAUAACCUACCUAUAAGACUGGGAUAACUUCGGGAAACCGGAGCUAAUACCGGAUAAUAUUUUGAACCGCAUGGUUCAAUAGUGAAAGACGGUUUUGCUGUCACUUAUAGAUGGAUCCGCGCCGCAUUAGCUAGUUGGUAAGGUAACGGCUUACCAAGGCAACGAUGCAUAGCCGACCUGAGAGGGUGAUCGGCCACACUGGAACUGAGACACGGUCCAGACUCCUACGGGAGGCAGCAGUAGGGAAUCUUCCGCAAUGGGCGAAAGCCUGACGGAGCAACGCCGCGUGAGUGAUGAAGGUCUUCGGAUCGUAAAACUCUGUUAUUAGGGAAGAACAUAUGUGUAAGUAACUGUGCACAUCUUGACGGUACCUAAUCAGAAAGCCACGGCUAACUACGUG
rnacentral:rRNA from 1 species